rnacentral:rRNA from 1 species
AUUGAACGCUGGCGGCAGGCCUAACACAUGCAAGUCGAGCGGAGCGGCGGACGGGUGAGUAAUGCCCAGGUAGCUGCCUGGUAGUGGGGGAUAACGUCCGGAAACGGGCGCUAAUACCGCAUCCUAUCAGAUUAGCCUAGGUCUGAUUGGCUAGUUGGUGGGUUAAAGGCCUACCAAGGCGACGAUCCGUAACUGGUCUGAGAGGAUGAUCAGUAACACUGGAACUGGGAAACGGUCCGGACUCCUACGGGAGGCAGCAGUGGGGAAUAUUGGACAAGGGGCGAAAGCCUGAUCCAGCCAUGCCGCGUGUGUGAAGAAGGUCUUCGGAUUGUAAAGCACUUUAAGUUGGGAGGCGUUACCAACAGAAUAAGCACCGGCUAACUACGUGCCAGCAGCCGCGGUAAUAC